rnacentral:rRNA from 1 species
AGUGGCGAACGGGUGAGUAACACGUGAGCAAUCUGCCCUUGACUCUGGGAUAACUGCGGGAAACUGUAGCUAAUACCGGAUACUUUCCUUGGUGGGCAUCCACUGGGGAAGAAAGAAUUUCGGUCAAGGAUGAGCUCGCGGCCUAUCAGCUAGUUGGUGAGGUAAAUGCUCACCAAGGCGACGACGGGUAGCCGGCCUGAGAGGGUGACCGGCCACACUGGAACUGAGACACGGUCCAGACUCCUACGGGAGGCAGCAGUGGGGAAUAUUGCACAAUGGGCGAAAGCCUGAUGCAGCAACGCCGCGUGAGGGACGAAGGCCUUCGGGUUGUAAACCUCUUUUAGCAGGGAAGAAGCGAAAGUGACGGUACCUGCAGAAAAAGCACCGGCUAACUACGUGCCAGCAGCCGCGGUAAUACGUAGGGUGCAAGCGUUGUCCGGAAUUAUUGGGCGUAAAGAGCUCGUAGGCGGUUUGUCACGUCUGCUGUGAAAUUUCGAGGCUCAACCUCGAACUUGCAGUGGGUACGGGCAGGCUAGUGUGCGGUAGGGGAGAUGGGAAUUCCUGGUGUAGCGGUGGAAUGCGCAGAUAUCAGGAGGAACACCAAUGGCGAAGGCACAUCUCUGGGCCGUAACUGACGCUGAGGAGCGAAAGCGUGGGGAGCGAACAGGAUUAGAUACCCUGGUAGUCCACGCCGUAAACG